GGAAGAUAGGAGCCAUUAUUACAUCUGAUAUGGUUUGGCUGUGUCCCCACCCAAAUCUCAUCUUGAACUGUAGCUCCCAUAAUGCCCAUAUGUCAUGGGAGGGACCUGAUGAAAGAUAAUUGAAUCAUGACAGCAGUUACCUCCAAGCUGUUCUCGUGAUAGUCUUGCUCUGUCGCCCAGGCUGGAGUGCAGUGGCAUGAUCAUGGCUCACUACAGCCUCGACCUCUCAGCUUCAAGCAACUCUCCUGCCUCAGCCUCCUACGUAGUUGGGACAACAGGUGCACAUCACCAUGUUUGGCUAAUUUUUGUAUUUUUUGUGAAGAUGGGGUUUUGCCAUGGUGCCCAGGCUAUUCUCAAACUUCUGACCUAAAGUGAUUUGCCCGCCUCAGCCUCCCAAAGUGCUGGGACCACAGGUAUGAGUCACCAUGCUCAGCCUAGUUUGGGGUUUUGGACUUUUAUGGGCAGUGCAAUUGCUGGGUCUAAGCAAUUUGAGGUGGAACUCGAAUAGCAUGGAGGUUUCCCAGAAGGGACGUGGGUUAAUGUAGAAUGCUUAAUUGCACCUCAUGUUUCUCAUUCCUUUGAAUCACACUUUUCUGUGGUCUUAAACU
rnacentral:lncRNA from 1 species